CAUGUCCAUGGACUGUGGUCAGCUAGCAACUUCUGUCCAUGGAAUUUUCCAGGCAAGAAUACUGGAAUGGGUUGCCAUUACCUUCUCCAGGAGAUUUUCCCAACCCAGGGAUUGAACCUGGGUCUCCUGCAUUAUAAGCAG